UUUCACUUCCUCUUAUCUCUAACUUUGUCUCAUUUUCAUCACCGUCAUGUCGUUCUCGCGUGUCGUGUAGGCUUGGCAGUGGUCAGAUCAUCUGUGAAGGGGCAUUUUAUUCACGACUGUUGGCUCACGUUCGGCUGGAUCUUCAGGCCCUCGGGUUCACAGUGGACACUGUAACGCUGACCGAUGUGAAGCACGCAGUCUGAAGACGUCUCAAUGAACAGCAGAACCUGGCCUGCUUCUGGGAUUUUAAAGGACUUUUUAACAAAAUUCCAGAUAAGGCCAAAGGCAGAGAGGUGGGAGACGUUCACAAUCACAUGCGUGUCGGUGAUCCUCAUCGGUUUCAAGAUGCUUAUCCCAUCAUCAAAGACGUGCGCGACAGACAGCAGGCCAUCAACACACAACGCUGUGAAGGCAAAGAGCUGCUGCACUAUUUCCUGCUCGGGGAUUCAUCCUGCACCAUUUACUUUUCAACACUUCAGUGUGGCAGGUGGAGCUGACGGACUGCGUCCUCAGAGCACGUGAUGUUAAACAGCGGCCCUGCAGCUGUUUUUCCAGCUUGUUGAAGGAGGCUCUCAUCCCAUUGGACAUUCCAGUACAGCAGCUCCGCCUUCUGAGCCAUAACAAACACCAGUCUGGUCAGAGUACACUGGAACACACCUGGACCAGGACACCUGAACCUGUAGAAGAUGAAACGGUUAAACUAGAAUCUAAAAGAAAGAAACCAACGAGAACAUCUGAAGCUUCUGUUUGAGUCCAAACUGUCACAUCCACCAAAGUGAGGGGAUGCUACAUCUGUAACUCUGCUGCUUUGGCUCUAAAGCCAAAGCAGGUUAUUAAUUCUACUUGUGGUUUGGGAUAUCUCAGGGUUUGAGUCACAUGUCACAUAAUUAGAACACGGUUGUGGUUAGUCAUCCCGGAGGCUUCAGCCUCUUUCUGGACUGAUAGUAACCUGCCAUCGCUGUAUUUGAGUUUUAUAUUAUCAGAACACCUCAAAUCACACAGAACCCAGAUGAACCCUGUCAUCUCUAACACAGCCAGGCAUCUGUGGAGGCAGCUGUUACUGGAGCUGGAGGGCCAAGUGAAGGUCCUGCCUGAAGUCUGACAUCAUCUCUGUCUGUCACUGAGAAACUGACGCUCCAGAUGAUCUUUCAGUGGAAAUGAUGUCUGAGUGAGAUGGACAAAGGAAAACACAGAGGGAGAGAAAAGCAAAGUACACAACGUCUCAUAUAUUAGACAUCGAUGGAGAGGAGGAGGUAAUUUACUAUGUCACACCUCCAGGUGUCUAAUACAAAUCAGGUCACAUCAGAGCAUGUGUGACAUCAUUCUAAUGUGGAGGUGAAAGCAGUGACAGCUGUGGUUUUAUUAUCACCUGUGGGAGAUUUGUGUGGAUUCAGGUUGUACUUCAGGUGUGAAGCUUGAUGGAGGCUGGAAAUCAGAACAACACCAGCUGUUUAAAGCAGCAACAAACCAGUAAGUGAAGAAACUACACAACGUACACAUCAGCAGUUAUAUGUACGUACUUUCAAAACUGGCAGUAAAAUAGUGGGACUAAAAACAAUGAAAACAUGGAGCCAUGCAGGAUAAAGCUUAAAGCAUCCUGAUAACGUACAAUUAAUCAGUGUUGCAGUGCAGGUAAAUUCAACACGUGGAGUUAGUUUCUGUCCUGAAGCCUCCUUCUUUGUUCCAUCAGACAAAGUUUAGACUACUACCAUGAAAAAGUGCCGAGAUUAACAGUCAUUACAUGUGUAAAUGAUAAGGAUCCGCUUGCUUUUGUCUCACCUCAAUUGGCUCUAUGUCAUCCUCAGAUAAAUCAGCUAAAGGGUUUAUAUCCAAUGUUUGUUCAGAGUCACCUGAUGAGAGACAGACAGCAGAACAGUUCAGGAUUCCCUGGAACACUUUUCGUCAGAGCUGACUGCAGACGUCCAAAGUGUACACUCAGAAAUAUUUUGCUAGAAAUCAAAGCUGAUUUGUGUCUGAAUAAUUUAAUCCAGAUCUGAAAACAUGCUACCAUUUUCAGCUGCACCACAGAUAAACUUUUAUAGAGCAAUGUUUCCCAACCUUUGGGAGCCACAGCACAUAUUUCACAUUAGAAAGAAAUCACAAACAAAAAUGUCACAAAAAGCAUAUUGAUAGUUUUUCCCUGCACACCAGUUAUAGUGGAAUUUGCUUGGUUUGUCCCCAGUACACCUUCUUUGCUUCUGACCACUAAUCGUGCUAGGGCUUUCAUGUGGUCAGACUGCCUACUUUUUCUUUUCAGAUAUUUAUCUAUUAAUAUUACACGCUGCA